GACGAACGCUGGCGGCGUGCUUAACACAUGCAAGUCGAACGGAAAGGCCCUGCUUUUGUGGGGUGCUCGAGUGGCGAACGGGUGAGUAACACGUGAGUAACCUGCCCUUGACUUUGGGAUAACUUCAGGAAACUGGGGCUAAUACCGGAUAGGAGCUCCUGCUGCAUGUUGGGGGUUGGAAAGUUUCGGCGGUUGGGGAUGGACUCGCGGCUUAUCAGCUUGUUGGUGGGGUAGUGGCUUACCAAGGCUUUGACGGGUAGCCGGCCUGAGAGGGUGACCGGCGACAUUGGGACUGAGAUACGGCCCAGACUCCUACGGGAGGCAGCAGUGGGGAAUAUUGCACAAUGGGCGGAAGCCUGAUGCAGCAACGCCGCGUGCGGGAUGACGGCCUUCGGGUUGUAAACCGCUUUCGCCUGUGACGAAGCGUGAGUGACGGUAAUGGGUAAAGAAGCACCGGCUAACUACGUG
rnacentral:rRNA from 1 species